CGGCCGCGGUAUCCUGACCGUGCAAAGGUAGCAUAAUCACUUGUUCCCUAAUUAGGGACUAGAAUGAAUGGCCAAACGAGGAUUCAACUGUCUCUUAUUUUUUAUCAGUGAAAUUGACCUUUCAGUGAAGAGGCUGAAAUACUAAAAUAAGACGAGAAGACCCUAUGGAGCUUAAAUUAAAAGUUUAAUUUUACUAUUAUUAACCUAAUGGUUUAACACAAAAAUUUUAAACUCUAAAUUUCGGUUGGGGUGACCUCGGAGAACAAAAAAUCCUCCGAAUGAUUCUAACAUAGACCAACAAGUCAAAGUAACCCAAAGAUCUCAUUGACCCAAAAAUUUUUUGAUCAACGGACCAAGUUACCCUAGGGAUAACAGCGCAAUCCUAUUUUAGAGUCCAUAUCGACAAUAGGGUUUACGACCUCGAUGUUGGAUCAGGACAUCCCAAUGGCGC
rnacentral:rRNA from 1 species